rnacentral:rRNA from 1 species
AGAGUUGCGUAGGUGGUUUGUUAAGUAGGUAGUGAAAUCUGGCGGCUCAACCGUACAGGCUAUUACCUAAACUGGCAAACUCGAGAAUGGUAGAGGUAACUGGAAUUUCUUGUGUAGGAGUGAAAUCCGUAGAUAUAAGAAGGAACACCAAUGGCGUAGGCAGGUUACUGGACCAUUUCUGACACUGAGGCACGAAAGCGUGGGGAGCGAACGGGAUUAGAUACCCCGGUAGUCCACGCCGUAAACGAUGGAUACUAGCUGUUGGAGGUAUCGACCCCUCCAGUAGCGAAGCUAACGCGUUAAGUAUCCCGCCUGUGGAGUACGGUCGCAAGACUAAAACAUAAAGGAAUUGACGGGGACCCGCACAAGCGGUGGAUUGUGUUCUUUAAUUCGAUGAUAAACGAUGAACCUUACCAGGGCUUGACAUCCCGAGAAUUUUGCCGAAAGGCGAGAGUGCUUUAUUGAACUCGGUGACAGAUCUUGCAUGGCCGUCGUCAGCUCGUGUCGUGAGAUGUUUGGUUAAGUCCAUCAACGAGCGCAACCCUUGUGAAUAGUUGGAUUUUUCUAUUCAGACUGCCCCGGCAACGGGGAGGAAGGAGGGGAUGAUGUCAGGUCAGUAUUAGUCUUACGUCCUGGGCUAGAAACGCAAUACAAUGGCAAGUACAAUGCGCAGCGAAGCCGCGAGGUGGAGCAAAUCGCAUCAAAGCUUGUCCCAGUUCGGAUAAGAGGCUGAAACUCGCCUCUUUGAAGUCGGAAUCGCUAGUAAUCGCAGAUCAGCAAGCUGCGGUGAAUACGUUCCCGGGUCUUGUACACACCGCCCGUCAAACCAUGAAAGUGACCAACACCCGAAGUCCGAUUCGUCGGCCUAAGGUGGGGGGCAUGAUUGGGGUUAAGUCGUAACAAGGUAUCCGUACCGGAAGGUGCGGAUG